GACCCCCCCGCGGGAUGCACCUGAGCCGCGAGGACGUGGCCGGGGUCACCGCCAACCCCGACCUGGGUGCCCUGGCGCUGCGGCAGCUCGACUGCCAGCUCGUCUCCCUCAAGCGCCAGGUAGCUGUGCCCCAAAUUUACAUGGGGGGGGACAAAAACACCCCAAAAACAUUGGGGAGCCCCCCCACGAUCGCUGUGUCCCCCCCCCCUGGCCGCGGUGGCAGUGCUUCAAGCAGAUCACAGCGGGCUGAGGCAGGCGCUGGAGGGCGGCGUGGAGGGCGUGGGGCCGCCCGAGCCCACCAGCAAAUUCAGCUCCCGCUGGACCACGGACGAGCAGCUGCUGGCGGUGCAGGCCCUGCGGCGCUACGGCCGCGACUUCCCGGCGGUGGCUGCGGUGCUGGGCACCAAGACGGCGGCUCAGGUGCGGAGCUUCGUGGCCAGCGCCCGCCGCCGCUUCGGCCUUGACCGGGUCCUGCGCGAGUGGGAGGCCGAACGCAGCGGCGGCGGGGGCGUCCCCCCCCCCCCGCCACCCCCCCCCCCGGGAGAGGGGGGGGGUAAGGCGAGGGGGGGGGAGGGGGGGGCCCCCCCCCCCCCCUCGCCCGGUGCCUCCCCCCCACCGCCGCCGCCACCAACCCGCCGCCUCUCCCCGCAGGUGCAGAUCACGGCGGUGUCGGCGCCCCCCCCCGC
rnacentral:lncRNA from 1 species